CGGUGAUCUAGCCAUGGGCAGGUUGAAGGUUGGGUAACACUAACUGGAGGACCGAACCGACUAAUGUUGAAAAAUUAGCGGAUGACUUGUGGCUGGGGGUGAAAGGCCAAUCAAACCGGGAGAUAGCUGGUUCUCCCCGAAAGCUAUUUAGGUAGCGCCUCGUGAACUCAUCUUCGGGGGUAGAGCACUGUUUCGGCUAGGGGGUCAUCCCGACUUACCAACCCGAUGCAAACUACGAAUACCGAAGAAUGUUAUCACGGGAGACACACGGCGGGUGCUAACGUCCGUCGUGAAGAGGGAAACAACCCAGACCGCCAGCUAAGGUCCCAAAGUCAUGGUUAAGUGGGAAACGAUGUGGGAAGGCACAGACAGCCAGGAUGUUGGCUUAGAAGCAGCCAUCAUUUAAAGAAAGCGUAAUAGCUCACUGGUCGAGUCGGCCUGCGCGGAAGAUGUAACGGGGCUAAACCAUGCACCGAAGCUGCGGCAGCGACACUAUGUGUUGUUGGGUAGGGGAGCGUUCUGUAAGCCUGCGAAGGUGUGCUGUGAGGCAUGCUGGAGGUAUCAGAAGUGCGAAUGCUGACAUAAGUAACGAUAAAGCGGGUGAAAAGCCCGCUCGCCGGAAGACCAAGGGUUCCUGUCCAACGUUAAUCGGGGCAGGGUGAGUCGACCCCUAAGGCGAGGCCGAAAGGCGUAGUCGAUGGGAAACAGGUUAAUAUUCCUGUACUUGGUGUUACUGCGAAGGGGGGACGGAGAAGGCUAUGUUAGCCGGGCGACGGUUGUCCCGGUUUAAGCAUGUAGGCUGGUUAUCCAGGCAAAUCCGGAUAAUCAAGGCUGAGGUGUGAUGACGAGGCACUACGGUGCUGAAGUAACAAAUGCCCUGCUUC
rnacentral:rRNA from 1 species